AGAGAAAGAGCUUUUCUCGUAGUAGGACUCACAUUGGACAGCAGCGUCGGAGACACAGAACUGUCAGCAUGUGUUCAGACAUACCGCCAUCUUCUCCUGACAUCGAAGUUCUGUCACAACAGAACGAGAUUGAAAAUACUGUACUUGCUAUAGAACCAGAAACUGAAACUGCAGUAGCAGAAAUAAUUCCUGAAGCGGAAGUUCCAGCACUUAAUAAGUGUCCCACAAAGUACCCCAAAACAAAGAAGGUAUGCGUCCUAACGACAGUAACGCCAUUUGCAACAAGUGUCUCCUAGCUGAAUGAUUGCCUUAGAGCCUCAACCUGCACCUAUGAUGAGCUAAGCAGUGUCAUGUUUACACUUGCAGAUAUUUGCCUAAGACUGAGAAGUACCAAAUUGUCAAGAAAAUUCAGUUUGUAUUAUGAAGAUUAAAUAUAUGAACACCUUUAGUAUUGUAGUUCAUGAUUUCUCUAAGGUUUCUGAAACUGGGUUAACAUACUUCCUCUCUCCCGUGCCUAGGGAUCUAAUCCAGGGCCUUGUGAAUGACAGGCAAGCCCUCUACCCAAGAGCCACACCCCAGUUCUUCAUUGUUUAUACAUUUUAUAAUUACUUUAGGUAGAUGAUAAGAAUUAAAUAGGAAAAAAAUUGUGAUUUCAUUAGAAUGUACUAGGAAUAUAGACUUAAGAGUGUUUUCACAGAAUACACACGUCGGGGCUGUAGGAGUCAGUUCCCUCUUGCACUACGUGGGCUCCAGGGAGAGCAAAACACCCUUCUACAUUAAGCCAUUUAUUUCACUGUAGCUCCUUGUAUUUAAGAGGAAGAUCAGUGUUACAUCAGAUUUUAUUACUGUCGGAAUUAUGAGACAAUUUACAGGAAACCGCAUAUGAAUUUGAACAACUUGAGUUUUUCAGCUUAAAAGUAAUAGCAUAGCCUUAGACUGAUGUUUUUGUCCAAGUAAAUGACAACACAUAGAAACAAGUGACUUGGGGCCUAAACCUUUUUUUUGUUUUUUCUUACCUAAUUUCAUACAGUUUUAUAGGCAGGCUGCUAAACAAUGAAAAGUAUUGCUUAAAGAAUUCUGUAAGCUCAGGAUUAUAUAAGUCAGUAGCAGACUCUUAAAUAUCUUUGCCAGCGAAUUACAGGUUUUGUUUGAAAUAUCACUAUAAUGUUUCAUUCAAAGACUGUGCACUAUAUUGCCUUAAAUAAAGUGGAUACUUGCUUUUGGUAGUAAUAAAUAUAUUGCUUACCC
rnacentral:lncRNA from 1 species